CCAGCAGCCGCGGUAAUUCCAGCUCCAAUAGCGUAUAUUAAAGUUGUUGCAGUUAAAAAGCUCGUAGUUGAAACUCUGACUGUAAGACUUCUAGUUCUUUGAACGGGAAGAUCUGCAGUCAUCCGCUUGUGAAUAUAACUCAUCCUUCACCGGUUGACUAUAUGAGCAAGCAUUUUACCUUGAGAAAAACAGAGUGUUCCAGGCAGGUUUGUCCGGAAUGCAUUAGCAUGGAAUAAUAGAAUAUGACUGGAGUCAAUUUAUUGGUUUACGACUACAGUAAUGAUUAAUAGGAACAGUCGGGGGCAUUAGUACUUGACAGUCAGAGGUGAAAUUCUUGGAUUUGU
rnacentral:rRNA from 1 species